UUGACCUCGGAUCAGGUAGGGAUACCCGCUGAACUUAAGCAUAUCAAUAAGCGGAGGAAAAGAAACCAACAGGGAUUGCCUCAGUAACGGCGAGUGAAGUGGCAACAGCUCAAAUUUGAAAUCUGGCCUUCAGGCCCGAGUUGUAAUUUAUAGAGGAUGCUUUUGGUUAGGUGCCUUCCGAGUUCCCUGGAAUGGGACGCCAUAGAGGGUGAGAGCCCCGUCUGGUCGGAUGCCGAGCCUCUGUAAAGCUCCCUCGACGAGUCGAGUAGUUUGGGAAUGCUGCUCAAAAUGGGAGGUAUAUGUCUUCUAAAGCUAAAUACCGGGCAGAGACCGAUAGCGCACAAGUAGAGUGAUCGAAAGAUGAAAAGCACUUUGAAAAGAGAGUUAAAUAGCACGUGAAAUUGUUAAAAGGGAAGCGUUUAUGACCAGACUUGCGCCGACUGAUCAACCAGCGUUCUCGCUGGUGCACUCUGUCGGCUCAGGCCAGCAUCGGUUCGCCCCGGGGGACAAAAGCUAGGGGAAUGUGGCUCCUCGGAGUGUUAUAGCCCCUAGCAUAAUACCCUGAGGCGGACCGAGGUUCGCGCACUGCAUGGAUGCUGGCGUAAUGGUCAUCAACGACCCGUCU
rnacentral:rRNA from 1 species